AUCUAGUCAACCUUUCGUGGUGCCUUUGGCCUUUGGGCCGAGGAUAAUCGGGAAACCAGUGAAAAUCUGGCGCUGCCCCCGCAACGGUGAAUAUCCUAUUUUGGCACUGCCUGAAUGGAUCAAGCCCGGAGACCGGCCCUAAAGGUGAUUUCGAU
rnacentral:ncRNA from 2 species